rnacentral:rRNA from 1 species
UAAGGCAACCCCGAAAGGGUUAGUCGAUGGACAAUCGGUUAAUAUUCCGAUACCACCAAUAACGCGUUAUUAGCUAAGGGGGGACGCAGUAAGGUAAGCCAUGCCUCUGAUGGAUUAGAGGCUCUAAGCAAGUAGGGGGAUUAUCCAGGUAAAUCCGGAUAGUCUUUAACUCCGAGAUGCGAAUGGGAUUCCCGAGAGGGAGGAACUGGCCCAACUACACUGACGAGAAAAACCUCGUAGUAAGUUUUAUUGGUGACCGUACCGCAAACCGACACAGGUAGACGG